UACGUAGGGUGCGAGCGUUGUCCGGAAUUACUGGGCGUAAAGAGCUCGUAGGUGGUUUGUCGCGUUGUUCGUGAAAACCUGAGGCUUAACCUUGGGCGUGCGGGCGAUACGGGCAGACUGGAGUACUGCAGGGGAGACUGGAAUUCCUGGUGUAGCGGUGAAAUGCGCAGAUAUCUGGAGGAACACCGGUGGCGAAGGCGGCAUCCUGGACCAACACUGACGCUGAGGAGCGAAAGCCAGGGGAGCAAACGGGG
rnacentral:rRNA from 1 species